UGGGGAAUAUUGCACAAUGGGCGAAAGCCUGAUGCAGCGACGCCGCGUGAGGGAUGGAGGCCUUCGGGUUGUAAACCUCUUUCGCUCAUGGUCAAGCCGCAACUGUGGUUGUGGUGAGGGUAGUGGGUAAAGAAGCACCGGCUAACUACGUGCCAGCAGCCGCGGUAAUACGUAGGGUGCGAGCGUUGUCCGGAAUUAUUGGGCGUAAAGGGCUUGUAGGCGGUUUGUCGCGUCUGCCGUGAAAUCCUCUGGCUUAACUGGGGGCGUGCGGUGGGUACGGGCAGGCUUGAGUGCGGUAGGGGAGACUGGAACUCCUGGUGUAGCGGUGGAAUGCGCAGAUAUCAGGAAGAACACCGGUGGCGAAGGCGGGUCUCUGGGCCGUUACUGACGCUGAGGAGCGAAAGCGUGGGGAGCGAACAGGAUUAGAUACCCUGGUAGUCCACGCUGUAAACGUUGGGCACUAGGUGUGGGGGCCACCCGUGGUUUCUGCGCCGUAGCUAACGCUUUAAGUGCCCCGCCUGGGGAGUACGGCCGCAAGGCUA
rnacentral:rRNA from 1 species